GACGAACGCUGGCGGCGUGCUUAACACAUGCAAGUCGAACGGAAAGGCCCCUUUGGGGGUACUCGAGUGGCGAACGGGUGAGUAACACGUGAGUAACCUGCCCUUGACUUCGGGAUAACUUCAGGAAACUGGGGCUAAUACCGGAUAGGAAUCCUUGCUGCAUGGUGGGGGUUGAAAAGCUUCGGCGGUUUUGGAUGGACUCGCGGCUUAUCAGCUUGUUGGUGGGGUAGUGGCUUACCAAGGCUUUGACGGGUAGCCGGCCUGAGAGGGCGACCAGCCACAUUGGGACUGAGAUACGGCCCAGACUCCUACGGGAGGCAGCAGUGGGGAAUAUUGCACAAUGGGCGGAAGCCUGAUGCAGCAACGCCGCGUGCGGGAUGACGGCCUUCGGGUUGUAAACCGCUUUCAGCAGGGGCGAAGCUUGUGGUGACGGUACCUGCAGAAGAAGCACCGGCUAACUACGUG
rnacentral:rRNA from 1 species